rnacentral:rRNA from 1 species
CCCUUAGAUGUUCUGGGCCGCACGCGCGCUACACUGAUGCAUUCAACGAGUCUAAAACCUGCUCUGAUAGGGGUGGGUAAUCUUUUGAAUGUGCAUCGUGAUUGGGAUAGAUGAUUGCAAUUUUUCAUCUUCAACGAGGAAUGCCCAGUAAACGCAAGUCAUCAGCUUGCAUUGAUUACGUCCCUGCCCUUUGUACACACCGCCCGUCGCUCCUACCGAUUGAAUGAUCCGAUGAAUAUCAUGGAUUGAGGAUGUAAGCAGGUUCGCCUGUCUUCAUCUUCGAGAAGUGAAGUAAAUCUUAUCAUUUAGAGGAAGGAGAAGUCGUAACA